rnacentral:tRNA from 1 species
GGGGAUUUAGCUCAGUGGUAGAGCGCUUGCCUAGCAAGCGCAAGGCCCUGGGUUCGGUCCCUAGCUCCA